UACGUAGGGAGCAAGCGUUAUCCGGAAUUAUUGGGUGUAAAGGGUGCGUAGACGGGAGAGCAAGUUGGUCUGUGAAAUCCCUCGGCUCAACUGAGGAACUGCAACCAAAACUAUCUUUCUUGAGUGCAGGAGAGGAAAGAGGAAUUCCUAGUGUAGCGGUGAAAUGCGUAGAUAUUAGGAGGAACACCAGUGGCGAAGGCGUCUUUCUGGACUGUAACUGACGUUGAGGCACGAAAGUGUGGGGAGCAAACAGG
rnacentral:rRNA from 1 species